rnacentral:lncRNA from 1 species
CAGAUACUUGAAAAUGUCAUUGCGAAAACUGUUUCUAUCCAGGCUUAAGGACUCUCCACGGCUGGUAUCGAUCAAGAAAACAUAGUCCAGUUUGUGUUGGUUGACUAGUUCUGAGCACGGAUGGCACCUGUGCUGGAUUGUGGUUUAAAUACCCAGUGUCACUUCAUUGAAGAAAAUGGAUUUUUCCUCUGCCAGAAGUUAUCACUUUCAACUAGCUUCUUGGUUAAAGAAUGUACCAGUAACCUUGUGUAGUUGCUAGUGUGGCUGGUAAGUUUUGCUUAACCACACAGACUUCUAGGCAUACAUCUGGACCCUGACAUCUUUUUUGUUUGUUUGUUAUGUUUUGUUUUGGUUUUGUUGUUGUUGUUUUGUUUUUUGAGAAAGGGUUUCUCUGUGUAGCCCUGGCUGUCCUGGAACUCACUUUUUAGACCAGGCUGACCUUGAACUCAGAAAUCCACCUGCCACUGCCUCCUGAGUGCUGGGAUUAAAGGAAUGAGACUGCCACAUACCAA